UACGUAGGGGGCAAGCGUUGUCCGGAAUUACUGGGUGUAAAGCGCGUGUAGGCGGGAGGCCAAGUCUGCGGUGAAAUCGCUCGGCUCAACUGGGCGGGGUCCGUGGAAACUGGUCACCUGGAGGACGGUAGAGGCGAGUGGAAUUCCCGGUGUAGUGGUGAAAUGCGUAGAGAUCGGGAGGAACACCAGUGGCGAAGGCGGCUCGCUGGGACGGUACUGACGCUAAGGCGCGAAAGCGUGGGGAGCAAACAGG
rnacentral:rRNA from 1 species